AUGCAAGUCGAGCGCCCCGCUAGGGGAGCGGCAGACGGGAGAGUACACGUGGGAACGUACCCUUCGGUUCGGAACAACCCAGGGAAACUUGGGCUAAUACCGGAUACGUCCGAAAGGAGAAAGAUUUAUCGCCGAGGGAUCGGCCCGCGUCUGAUUAGCUAGUUGGUGGGGUAAUGGCCCACCAAGGCGACGAUCAGUAGCUGGUCUGAGAGGAUGAUCAGCCUCACUGGGACUGAGACACGGCCCAGACUCCUACGGGAGGCAGCAGUGGG
rnacentral:rRNA from 1 species